rnacentral:rRNA from 1 species
UACGUAGGGUGCAAGCGUUGUCCGGAUUCCUUGGGCGUAAAGCGCGUGUAGGCGGUCCGGUAAGUCCGCUGUGAAAGUCGGGGGCUCAACCCUCGAAUGCCGGUGGAUACUGUCGGGCUAGAGUGCGGAAGAGGCGAGUGGAAUUCCUGGUGUAGCGGUGAAAUGCGCAGAUAUCAGGAGGAACACCGGUGGCGAAGGCGGGUCUCUGGGCCGAUACUGACGCUGAGGAGCGAAAGCGUGGGGAGCAAACAGG